AACUGGAAGGUGGGGGAGAGAAGAAGGAGAAAAUGGAAGAGGGAGAGGACGCAGAGGAAGUGGAAGGAAAGAGGAGCAGAAGCCCAUGGCCUGGAGAAACGUAUAUUUUUCAGGAUUUGUCAUCCCCUGACUACACAGCACUCGGGACACACUCCUUCCUACCUGGAGUUUGGUAUUGAUAUUGAAUUCCUCAAUGGAGAACAGCCUUGGGAACCAGAGAGCCUGCUGCAGACUUACUGUGAAACCCAGCCUCUCCUCGGAGGACUAAGAAGAGAUGUCUUCUUCUGCCUUAUGGACUCUGAUUUCUCUCUCUCUCUCUCUCUCUCUCUCUCUCUCUCUCUCUCUCUCUCUCUCUCUCUGGAGACUCCAUCAUGCUGUUGCUUCUCUACCUGUCCAUGGAAUUAAUAGCUCUUCUAAUAAGUGUCUUAAUCCCUAGUAAUCUUUAAGGGUUCCUCUUGGACACCCUACCCCGCCACCACCAUCCAAAACCCAACAAUAACUGACCAUUUUCUCAGUUGUUGAUGUUUACUGGGAGAUAAAUAGCUUCAGAUAACAGUUAACGGGAUCUUGAUGAACAAACCAGAAAAGAGCUAGUACCAGCCAUGGGGAUGCAGUGUUAGGAGGGCUGGUUUCUGGAGACAUGCCAGCGCCUGGAAGCACACACUCUCCCAGGUCAUCAGGAUGAUUCUAACCAUGGCCUUGACUCUAUAUCCACAGCAUAGCUUCUGAAAGCCCUUUCUGUAAAGCCAGCUGCUCCUUGUAGGUUCCUGAGCAGGCACUGUCAGACUGACUGGAUGUUCACAGGUGCCAACUGGAUUUGCCAGUGUGAAAAGGGAGGAUUUUCUCAGAAGCAGCCCCCUAGCGUCAGUCCUGAGAGAUGUAACGAAUGCCCUAGAGACCUCCCUCCAGUAGAAUUUUGAUGUGUAGGAACACAGGGACCUCAUCUGUGUUCUGCUAAGAACACACAGUGCUAGAUGUACUUGUGAGUGAAUAUAUGGGUCACAGGCUGCCAGGUUCAACCUAUGGCAACUGAACAGUGUCCAUCACACUCCCAGGAAGCCCUCAAAACAUCCCUUCUGCCCAAAGGAAGCUCUGUACACUCACCCAACAUGUUUGAUUCAGAUAUGGAGGACAAUGCCUGGGACAGAGACAGCCAUUUCCAAAGAAGCUUCAAUGGUUGGGGUUGUCAAUUCACUAUGCAAGUGGAGCAGUGUGCAUCUGUCCACCACCCUUCUUUGCUCCCUGACUGUGAAUUCACUGUAAUGAAGUUUUUCAAACUUCCUUACCAUGGAAGACAAACCUAGAACUGAAGCUAAAACAAACCCUUUGUUCCCUGAGUUGUUUUUGCCAAGGGAUUUUUAUCACAACAGGAAAACAAACCAGGACAACUUCUCUCCUUGGCAUACUCCUCUACAAGAAUUAUAGCCUAGUCAAGCCCCUGGAUAUAGAGAGGAGCCAACUGGGAAGGUGUGUCAGCCCCCUGCACUCCCUGGCUGGUAUCUGACAUGGGCCAGGAGCAGAUCAUUGGCCACAUCUCCAGAGACAGAGUAUAACCCUGGGGAUUCAUACCUAAGCAGCCAAGGCAAAAGGGAAUUCCCUUUCCUUAUCCCUCCUGCUCCAGAGGCUUGCAGAGUGAGGUCAACUCCUAGUUGUGUAACUGAAGGGCUCACUGCCACGAGAGCAGCUCAACUUGACUACAGCAGUGUGGGAAAUCUUCUCUCCCUCAGCUGAGAGUUUGUAGGGAGCAUGGAAUCAUAUUCAGGGGCUCAUGUGCUCAUGAGCAGGUCUCCAUCAUCCUGAAUCUCCCUCGUUAGCCUCUUAGUGGGUCCUCACACUGUUCUCCCAAGCCCUGGUUCCAUUCUCUCCACUCCAAAUGUUUGAUAAAGUGUAUCUUCCUUGGCUGUCUUUGCUGUGUCCCAGGCAAAUGCUGGCUUUACCUGUGCAGGGUAGGCCCCAUUUCCUUGGGAGGAGCUGUGUGUGUCAGGGGCUGAGUCCCGCCCCAGACCUAGCAGAUGACAUUUUCUGCUCCUAGACUAUAUACCUAGAAGGGUGCCCCCAAAAAACUUUAACUCAUCUCAGUGACAGGAUAUGGAGCAACUCAUCUGUGGCACACAGCUUAGGGAACCAUGGCAGCCAGGGCAUAGGUCACACACUGCCAGAAGCUUCUGUGGAUAAUGUUGGUUCUGAUGUCUCCUAACUCACAAUCACUGGGUGCGAUGAUGCACCCCUUUAAUGCCUACACAUGGCAGACAGAGGCAGAUGAAUCUCUGUUAGUCUGAGGCUAGCAUAGGCUACAUAGUGAGACACAGUCUCAAAACAAAUAAAUAAAAAUGAACCCAUAGUUACAUGUCUUAUUCAUUGUUAGCCACGUGUUGCUUUUUUAAGUGUAGAGAACUGUCUUUUGGAGACUCCGUUUUUACUGCUGUUCAAUGGAAGAUUGCUAAUAAAAAAACCAACUUGAGU
rnacentral:lncRNA from 1 species